rnacentral:rRNA from 1 species
UACGUAGGGAGCAAGCGUUGUCCGGAAUCAUUGGGCGUAAAGAGCGCGUAGGUGGCUUUAUAAGUCCGUUGUGAAAGUCAAAGGCUCAACCUUUGAAAGCCGAUGGAUACUGUGAAGCUAGAGUACGGAAGAGGCGAGUGGAAUUCCUGGUGUAGCAGUGGAAUGCGCAGAUAUCAGGAGGAACACCAAUAGCGAAGGCAGCUCGCUGGGACGUUACUGACACUGAGGCGCGAAAGCGUGGGGAGCGAACAGG